rnacentral:rRNA from 1 species
UACGGGGGGGGCAAGCGUUGUUCGGAAUUACUGGGCGUAAAGGGCUCGUAGGUGGCCAACUAAGUCAGACGUGAAAUCCCUCGGCUUAACCGGGGAACUGCGUCUGAUACUGGAUGGCUUGAGUUUGGGAGAGGGAUGCGGAAUUCCAGGUGUAGCGGUGAAAUGCGCAGAGAUCGGGAGGAACACCUGUGGCGAAGGCGGCCACCUGGGCCGACCCUGACGCUGAGGCGCGAAAGCCAGGGGAGCGAACGGG